CUUCCACAGUGAAAAUUCAAGGUCUCUUCCAUCUGUUGUUUUGAGUGUCUGAGGAAAUAUAAAACAUUGAUUUUGGUUUGCAGGACAUGAUCCAGAAAUUGCUGUCAUCACAGUCUAGAUUUGGGGCAAAAGGGAAAUACAAGGAAUUGAAAGAGAGAAGAAUAAAAGGACUUCAAGAGGUUCAUCUUGAGAAACUGGAAUAACAGUAAUAUGUCUUGAAUUAUUUCUGGACGGGAUUUCUAGAUUAGCCCUCACCUGCCACAACAUCAGAGUAUUUUGGAAAAGCUUUGCAUCUUUGAAUAAAAGGCUGGGAGAGAUCACUCAAAUUUCACAAUAUAGAAUAUUUCAUUUUAAUAAAACAACUGGAAACCAAUGUGAAGACUUACUUAAUAUUAACCAAAUGUGUUACAGGAAAUGCUGUAGGGAUUCAGAAAAGGAAGACAUUGCUUCAGAAGAACUUACCAUUGCUGGCAUGACCUUUACAACUUUUGACCUGGGCUGACAUGUUCAAGGUAAGAUUCUAUUAUUAUUAUAUUUGCUUUGUUUAUUUUAACUUAAUAAAAAAUGGAGGGACUAGCACUGUAGUGUAGUAGGCUAAGCCUCUGCCCGUGGCACCAGAAUCCCAUGUAGACACUGGUUUAAGUCCCGGCUGCUCCUCUUCCAAUCCAGUCCCCUGCUUACACCUAGAAAUGCAGUGCAAGUGGCGCAAGUCCUUUGGCCCCUGUACCAGUGUGGGAGACCUGGAGGAAGCUCGUGGCUUCAGAUUGGCCCAGCUACAGCUGUUACAGCCAUCUGGGGAAUGAACCAGCAGAAGGAAGACCUCUCUCUGUCUCUUCCUCUCUCUGUAACUCUGCCUCCAGUGCUGACUCAGUUGCAAUGUGAAUAAUAUGGCAACCAACAAGGUUCUCUAACUUUAGCACACAAAGGAUCUCCUGGAGAGCGUUUUGGAGGUUCACUGCCCAGGAGCAUGGCUUGGGCGCCAGAGGAGGCAGAAGGACCCUGCGGCGAGGCCAGGCCGUGCCGACAAGAGAAUUAUUUCAAGAGAAGGUAAAAUGGGACAACUUAGAGUUUGUGUGUAGUCAGGAGUAAGCAGAGACUCGAGAUUAAGGCUUGAAGAUGGGAAAGUCAGAGGGUCAUUUAAUGAGUUAGGGACCAUGUUAAAGAGUGAGUUGGUGGUAGAUGGAGCUUAACAAAAAGGAGUUAGGGAAGGCUGGGACAUAAUGCAAGCUAAUAUAUCCUUUGCAGUGAUUCCCAAUGAAAAUCACUUAAGAACUUAAAAAACAAAAUACCAAACUAUUUUCCAGACCAUUACAAUCUUUCCAUUGAAACUACAGAAUAUGUAUUGAGACAUUAAAUCCUUACCUAUAUGACAAAAAUACUAAAAUAAAGAAGAUAUUAGUACUCUGAAUAAAGAUGCUGAUGGUAGUAGACUAAUAGGAGUUAUAUAUUUGAAGAGCAAAUCCUCUCUUAUAGGAAAAAUGUGGGAAAAUACAAACCAGUCUAGGCCUAUCUGAACUAAGACCGAGUCUGUAAUUCAGAAAUCAAAGGCUUACAAAGAAACUAGAGCAAAACUUACCAAUUAUCUUUAGGCAGGGAAGUAUAUGAGCAUACAAGGAGUCUUAUAAAAUUUCAUAAAAAUACGCAUUAUAAAAAUGCAUGCUUUUCAAAAUUUUUGUCUCAAAAUAAACAUUUUAAUUUUAUUUUUCUAUGAACUUUCUGAAGUACUCUUCUAAUUU